rnacentral:rRNA from 1 species
UAGGGAAUAUUAGAAAUGGACGAAAGUCUGAUCUAGCAACACCGCGUGUGCGAAGAAGGCCUUCGGGUCGUAAAGCACUUUUUGGAAGGAAUAGGAAGGAAUGUACUUCCAGAAUAAGUCUCGGCUAACUACGUGCCUGCAGCCGCGGUAACACGUAGGAGGCGAACGUUAUCCGGAUUUACUGGGCGUAAAGCGCGUGUAGGUGGUACUGUAAGUAGGGCGUGAAAGCUCCUGGCUCAACUGGGAGAGGCCGUUCUAAACUACAGAACUAGAGGAUGGUAGAGGGAGGUGGAGUUCCAGGUGUAGCGGUGGAAUGCGCAGAUAUCUGGAGGAACACCGGUGGCGAAGGCGGCCUCCUGGACCAUUCCUGACACUCAGACGCGAAAGCUAGGGUAGCAAACGG